GAUGAGCGCUGACAGAAUGCUUAACACAUGCAAGUCGAUGGGGAAGUGGUGCUUGCACCAUGGCAACCAUGGCGGACGGGUGAGUAACGCGUAAGGGACUUACCUGCAGGACUGGGAUAACAGGGGGAAACUCCUGACAAGACCGGAUAAUGUCAUGGAGCUGCAUGGCUUUAUGAUGAAAGGAGACGCCUGCGGAGAGCCUUGCGUCCUAUUAGCUAGUUGGUGAGGUAAUGGCUCACCAAGGCGAAGAUAGGUAGCCGGCCUGAGAGGGUGGACGGCCACAAGGGGACUGAGAUACGGCCCUUACUCCUACGGGAGGCAGCAGUGGGGAAUAUUGGACAAUGGGGGCAACCCUGAUCCAGCAAUUCUGUGUGCACGAAGAAGGUUUUCGGAUUGUAAAGUGCUUUCAGCAGGGAAGAAGUAAGUGACGGUACCUGCAGAAGAAGCGACGGCUAAAUACGUG
rnacentral:rRNA from 1 species